UACGGCAACAUCACGUUGAAGCACUAAUUCCCGUACGAUCAUCAAAGUUAAGCAAAGUCGAGCCUCUUCAGUACGUAGAUGGGUGACCGCUUAGCAAUAUCAGGUGCUGUAAG